rnacentral:rRNA from 1 species
AACGCCGGCGGCCACCCUUCACACACGCAAGACGGACGGCAGCGGGGCAGCGCCUCGCACUCCCGCCGGCGAGCGGCGAAACGGGCGAGUCAAUAAUAAUCGGAAACGUCACCGAGUCACGGGGGAUAACCAAUCCGAAAAGAUUCGGCUAAUACCGCAUACGCUCCGAGGAGGAAAGCAGGGGACCUUCGGGCCUUCGCGUUAUUUCGAGCGGCCAAUAUCUGAUUAGCUAGUUCGGUGGGGUAAAGGCCUACCAAGGCGACGAUCAGUAGCGGGUCUGAGAGGAUGAUUCCGCCACACUGGGACUGAGACACGGCCCAGACUCCUACGGGAGGCAGCAGUGGGGAAUUUUUGGACAAUGGGCGCAAGCCUGAUUCCAGCCAUGCCGCGUGUCUGAAGAAGGCCUUCGGGUUCGUAAAGGACUUUUGUUAGGGAAGAAAAAAGGAGCGGUUAAUACCCGUUUUCUGCUGACGGUACCUAAAGAAUAAGCACCGGCUAACUACGUGCCAGCAGCCGCGGUAAUACGUAGGGUGCGAGCGUUAAUCGGAAUUUACUGGGCGUAAAGCGAGCGCAGACGGUUACUUAAGCAGGAUGUGAAAUCCCCGGGCUCAACCUGGGAACUGCGUUCUGAACUGGGUAGCUAGAGUAUGUCAGAGGGGGGUAGAAUUCCACGUGUAGCAGUGAAAUGCGUAGAGAUGUGGAGGAAUACCGAUGGCGAANGCAGCCCCCUGGGAUAAUACUGACGUUCAUGCCUCGAAGGCGUGGGUAGCAAACAGGAUUAGAUACCCUGGUAGUCCACGCCCUAAAAGAAUGUCGAUUAGCUGUUGGGCAGCUUGACUGCUUAGUAGCGUAGCUUACGCGUNGAAUCGACCGCCUGGGGGAGUACCGUCGNCAGAUUAAACUCAAAGGAAUUGACNGGGACCCGCACAAGGGNUGGAAUGAUGUGGAUUUAUUUCGAUGCACGCGAAGAACCUUACCUGGUCUUGACAUGUACNGAACUUUUCCGAAAACGGGAGGGUUGCCUUCGG